UAAGCGGAGGAAAAGAAACUAACAAUGAUUCCCUUAGUAACGGCGAGUGAAGGGGGAAAAGCUCAAAUUUUAAAUCGGGACAGGUUUCUACCUGCUCGAGUUGUAAUUUGAAUAGGCGUUUUCCGCGUCUAGGUCGGCCCAAAUCCUUUGGGAUAAGGUAUCAUGGAGGGUGAGAAUCCCGUUCGGUUGACCUAAAGACGUUCUACGAUACGCUUUCAAAGAGUCGAGUUGUUUGGGAAUGCAGCUCAAAAUGGGAGGUAAAUUUCUCCUAAGGCUAAAUACCGGCGAGAGACCGAUAGCGAACAAGUACCGUGAGGGAAAGAUGAAAAGAACUUUGAAAAGAGAGUUAAACAGUACGUGAAAUUGUUGAAAGGGAAACGAUUGAAGCCAAGUCGUACCGACGGGAAAUCAACUUCUCGGGUGUCUAUCGCGGGUGACGUUGAGCCUCACGGUCUUAGUCGCUUGUGUUGCUGGUACCUUUGGGGUGUACUUUUUCGUAUGGUAGGUUCAACAUCGAUUUUGAACGUCAUAAAAUGAUCGGAGGAAUGUAGCUUCGAUUUCGAUCGGAGUGUUAUAGCCUUUGGUAGAUGUGACGAUUGGGAUCGAGGAUUGCAACGAAUACCCUUUGGGCUAUCCGUCUGACCUCUGAUGGUAGGCUAGGGUGUCGAAAGCUUGCUUAUGGCAUUCGAGUCGGCGGUCAACAGGUUAGAACGCGAUUACAUUCGUUAAGGAUGUUGACGUAAUGGUUUAAACGACCCGUCUUGAAACAUCGGACCAAGGAGUCUAACAUGUAUGCGAGUGUU
rnacentral:rRNA from 1 species